rnacentral:rRNA from 1 species
AUACGUAGGUGGCAAGCGUUGUCCGGAUUUACUGGGCGUAAAGGGCGCGCAGGUGGCUGAUCAAGUCUGAGGUGAAAUCUCCCGGCUCAACCGGGAGGAGUCUUUGGAUACUGGUCGGCUAGAGGAAUGCAGAGGAAAGCGGAAUUCCCGGUGUAGCGGUGAUAUGCGUAGAUAUCGGGAGGAACACCAGUGGCGAAGGCGGCUUUCUGGGCAUUUCCUGACGCUGAGGCGCGAAAGCGUGGGGAGCGAACCGGAUUAGAAACCCCAGUAGUCC